ensembl:lncRNA
GCUCAUAGCUAAGGAGCGAGAGCAGCAUCAGAAGAAGAGGAUCGCUUUAAAAAGGACAAAAUAAGGAAAAAACAAAAAAGGAAACUCACCAGUCCUGCUGAUGGUCAUACGUCAACUUUAAGUGGCUAAAAUCUCAGUGAGUAGGAGAGAGAGAGAAAAGUAAAUUCAUCACCACCAUGAAGCUGUGGAGCCGUGUCUGCUUCCUCGUUCUAGCAGUUUCUCCUAUUUGCCUGGGACAAAAUGGUACAAGUCAUGAGCAACCCAACGUUUCUCCUGUCCCCUCAAUCACUGCCAGAUACGUUUUAAAAGGAACUGAAAAUAAGAUGCAAUAUGACACAGACCCUGAGAGUACUACAGCAGAGGAAACAAACAGUAUGCACCCCCUCCACCUGGCUCGUCUGCAGGUUAUGUUGUCCUGGCGCUUAUCAUCAUAGUGAUUAUAAUUCUGUGUAUCAUCCUCUACCUCUUGAGGCGAGCCUCCAGGACAUAUUCAUUUGACCUCCAGCGUCCAAAUCCUGUUGGUCAUCUCAACCAGCCCACUGGCACCUUUGAGCCAGUCUACCUGGAUGAUCUGGAGCGACCGGUACCUAAAGAUAUUGAAGCCACCGAUGACCUUUCACCUCCACCGGUCGCUAAUGGCACGAGUCUACAGUCGGAGGAAAAGGACUCCACUGGAGAGAACGCUCCUGAGGAACAGCCAGAAGCAAAUGGUGUGGAGACUUCACCCGCUGAAAACACCACUCCCUCACUGAGUAGCGAUGAAGCUGACAAGAUAUCCAACCCACCGAGCAGUACCAGCCUUUUCUUUGAUGCUAUUGGGGAGCAGCAGAAUGAAAACAACAACAACCCAACAGUUUGCUCCAGUGACCCAUUUGUUGAAAUAAACCUGGACGAGCCGGCAUGGUGUGAUCAGCUCCUCAAUUCUUCUGAAGGUUCUUCCUCGGUCUUCCCCUUCUCUCCAUUCUCUUUAUCCUCCUCUUCCUCUUAGCACUUUGAAUGUUAUCCUCUUCCAUCAACAUAUAGGCAGAGAUUGUCUUUCGUAGCACAUGGACAUGAGCACAACAUGUGUUUUUUUUCCCAAAGCUAGUAUGGAUUGUGAAGUGAACAACCAAGGAAUUAACAUCAACCUGUAAACAUGAAGCUAGCUUUAACUGAUUUCUUAUUGUGUUUUUAUAUGUUUUUGUUCAAAUUUAUUGGUCUCAUUUAGUAUUUUUUCUAAGACUAUAUGAAGGACUUUAAACUGAUUUUAAUUGAAUUGUUUGAAACUGAGCAAUUUGGGAAGCUCAAAGAGGCAGUCCAAAAUUGCAUCGAAGAAAAAGAAGGAUUGAAGAAAUGUUAAUCACAACUUUUCCUGCAUUUAACUGACUUAUUAUUAUUGUUGCCUAACCACACUGCAAACUUCAUACCAAAGGAAGUAAAAUAAGCAAGGUAGCUUAUUUGUGACAUCUAGACUAAGCAAUAACGCCUGAACUUUUUUUUUUUUUCCAAAUGUCAUCACUUCAUGAGCGUAUAGAUUGGCUGCAGUUCCUCUCAGAUCUAACAUCCUUUGAAGUAGGCUAAAGUUUUCUCAGAAGAGAUGUUUGGUUUUAAGUCAGAUUAUUUUUGGGGAAAUUAGUGUGUACAAAGUACUCAUAUAGGAAACAGUUGAUUAACUUUUUGUACAGUUUAAUAUUGCAAUAAUAAGUUAUGGUUGUAAUCCCAAGACGCAAAUGGACAUACACAAGAAUGAUGCUUCAUUUGGGAACCACAUCUCAUUACCAAUAAACAUAAAACUAGCUUUAACGCUUCCUUAUGAUUUUUUUGUUUGUUUUAUACAUUAUCAGCACAUCAAACUUAAAUCAAAUGAGUUUUUUCCUAAAAUGUAGCAUUUUUCUACUUCAUUUUAUUUACUAAAGCAUCAUAAAACAAGAUUAAAGUUAACUUUAGCAGUGACAACUGUUACUCUCAAAUUAUCGAUGUAGGCUAGUUUCCCCUAAACCUACAGGGAGAUUUGUGAAAUCUCUGAACUAUAAAAAUACACUCUGUGUCAUAAUUGCUGUAAAUAUUUUUGUACACGAUAUAUUUUUUUUAGUAGAAUACUGUGAAUUAUUCACAUUUAUUCAAGUUCUAUAUUUUAAUUUUGUGACUCUGGAGGUUUCCAUUCUACUAGAUGUUUAAAUGCUUUCGUUUCUUUUAACCUACAUUUAUUUUGUCAUUUUUUUAAUAAACUGGUUUCUUUUCAGAAGCUAACUAAAUAUACAUUUCACCACUGCCAUUUUCCUCAAAGUGCUAAUUCAAACUGAUAUAUAAAUAUAUAAUUUUCUGACUAAUGUUAAAAAAAACAAACAUUGAGAAGUGUUACUUUGUUUCAUGUUAAAAAUCAAAUUGAUUCAAAUAAAACUAUUUUUUUUUCAGAAUUUCACUGUUA